GAAAGAAAAUCUUCAGUCUCAAAUUCAGCAAGUCGGAAUUAUUUGUGGAAAUGAUGACGAGCUUUCUGACGUAAUUGUUGAGGAUGACCACACCGUAGACUCUACUAGCCAGUCAUGUGAAGAAUAUUUAUCUAGUCUUGAAAUGAAGAUGAAAAGGUUUUGCAAAGAAACAAUGAAAGAAGACUACAGGCCCCGUACUGUUAGAAUACAAAGUUUAAAACGAUUUAAGGUCGAGCGUUCAUCUCAAAUACCAAAACUAGGUGGAACAGUUUUAGUUGAUACGAGAAGACCAUCGCCAGUAUAUUUUACCAAUGCUAAUCAAAAUAUAAGACAUUUCAUCUUAUCAAGG